rnacentral:rRNA from 1 species
UGAUGUGGAGCAAACCCCUAAAAAUGCGUCCCAGUUCAGAUUGCAGGCUGCAACCCGCCUGCAUGAAGUCGGAAUUGCUAGUAAUCGCGGAUCAGCAUGCCGCGGUGAAUACGUUCCCGGGCCUUGUACACACCGCCCGUCACACCAUGGGAGCCGGUAACACCCGAAGUCAGUAGCCUAACAGCAAUGAGGGCGCUGCCGAAGGUGGGAUUGGUGACUGGGGUGAAGUCGUAACAAGGUAUC